GACGAACGCUGGCGGCGUGCCUAAUACAUGCAAGUCGAACGCACUUUCGUUAGAUUGAAGAAGCUUGCUUCUGAUUGAUAACAUUUGAGUGAGUGGCGGACGGGUGAGUAACACGUGGGUAACCUGCCCUAAAGUGGGGGAUAACAUUUGGAAACAGAUGCUAAUACCGCAUAAAACCUAGCACUGCAUGGUGUAAGGUUGAAAGAUGGUUUCGGCUAUCACUUUAGGAUGGACCCGCGGUGCAUUAGUUAGUUGGUGAGGUAAAGGCUCACCAAGACCGUGAUGCAUAGCCGACCUGAGAGGGUAAUCGGCCACACUGGGACUGAGACACGGCCCAGACUCCUACGGGAGGCAGCAGUAGGGAAUCUUCCACAAUGGACGAAAGUCUGAUGGAGCAACGCCGCGUGAGUGAAGAAGGUUUUCGGAUCGUAAAACUCUGUUGUUGGAGAAGAACGUAUUUGAUAGUAACUGAUCAGGUAGUGACGGUAUCCAACCAGAAAGCCACGGCUAACUACGUG
rnacentral:rRNA from 2 species